rnacentral:rRNA from 1 species
AGAGUUUGAUCCUGGCUCAGAUUGAACGCUGGCGGCAGGCCUAACACAUGCAAGUCGAACGGUAACAGGAAACAGCUUGCUGUUUCGCUGACGAGUGGCGGACGGGUGAGUAACGCGUGGGUAACCUGCCUCACACUGGGGGAUAACAGUCAGAAAUGACUGCUAAUACCGCAUAAGCGCACAGAGCCGCAUGGCUCAGUGUGAAAAACUCCGGUGGUGUGAGAUGGACCCGCGUUGGAUUAGCCAGUUGGCAGGGUAACGGCCUACCAAAGCGACGAUCCAUAGCCGGCCUGAGAGGGUGGACGGCCACAUUGGGACUGAGACACGGCCCAGACUCCUACGGGAGGCAGCAGUGGGGAAUAUUGCACAAUGGGGGAAACCCUGAUGCAGCGACGCCGCGUGAAGGAAGAAGUAUCUCGGUAUGUAAACUUCUAUCAGCAGGGAAGAAACGAGACGGUACCUGCAGAAGAAGCCCCGGCUAACUACGUGCCAGCAGCCGCGGUAAUACGUAGGGGGCGAGCGUUAUCCGGAUUCAUUGGGCGUAAAGCGCGCGUAGGCGUCCCUUCAAGCGGCACCGUCGAAGCCGGGGGCUCAACCCCCGGAAGCGGGCCGAACUGGGGGGAUCGAGUGCGGUAGGGGAAGGCGGAAUUCCCGGUGUAGCGGUGAAAUGCGCAGAUAUCGGGAAGAACACCGACGGCGAAGGCAGCCUUCUGGGCCGCCACUGACGCUGAGGCGCGAAAGCUGGGGGAGCGAACAGGAUUAGAUACCCUGGUAGUCCCAGCCGUAAACGAUGGGCGCUAGGUGUGGGGGGGAGAUGUCCCUCCGUGCCGCACCCAACGCAUUAAGCGCCCCG